CUUGAGAGCUGUAUGAAAAAGGAGGAAAGCAACAAUUUAUACUGAAGGAACCAAUGAGAAAUGAAUACAACCCUAUAUGGUAUCUUCAGUGUGAUUUAAUUACUACAGAAUCAUAGAAUAAACAUUCAGUUACCAGGAAGUUUUUCAACUGAUUUCUUUAUUUCCUACAUACAACCGUACUGUGGAAGGAGUGGCAAGAAAAGACAGCAGCAAAUAUUUUCUUUAUAAAAAUAAGAUUCAAGAUCACUACAACUUCCCUCUUGAAAAUGUUCCAUGUAGGCGUUGGAAAGAAGGAAGGAUGCAACUCAGAAGACAGCAGUAGCUAAGCUAUGCUAACAUACAUUCUAUGCACAAUUACAUGUGGACUAGAGCACACCAUGAAGUUUAAUUCUCCAGAAUUCACAGACGUGCCUAGAUCACACGGUAUUUCCAGAGUAAUGCCAAGACUGGCACCACUGAGCAAUACCACCUACAAAAUUCCCCAAAGCAUAUGCUAGAAUGAAAAACCAUUAAACAGGGCAAAUGCUUCUGUUUCUAUUUCUGGGUAUCACAAACCUACUGAACACAAAAAAGCAAAAUGACUGUAGGAUAUUUCCCUUCUCUGUAUCUCCUGUUCUAAUGCUUUGGGAUUUUUAUGUCCAUGGGUUUCAAUCCCAUAUCAUCAAAUCACAGAAUGAGUUGGAAGGGAUGUUAAGAUCACGUAGUUCCACCCCUCCUACCAUGGACAUGGACACCUUUCACUAGACCAGGUUGCUCAAAACCCCAUCCAGCCUGGCCUUGAACACUGCCAGGCACAGGACAUCCACAACUUCUCUGAGCAACCUGUUCCAGUGUCUCAGCACCCUCAUAGUAAAGAAUUUCUUCCUAGUAUCUAAUUUAAAUCUGCUCUCUUUCAGUUUAAAGCCAAACAAAACUGUAUUCUAACAAAGAAGAAAUUAAAAUGCUAAACAUAAAAUUGAAAGCUAGAGAGGUGACCUUUUAUAUAUAAAUCUAGAUUAGAUUAAAUUGCAGCUCACCUAGCUGCUAGAAACCAAACUCUCUAAGGCAUGACAGUAUUGAAACUACACACACAUAUUAACAAACUGACUAGAAUAUCCCUAGCAAACAUAUGGCAAUACACUAAAGCAGUUCUAAAAAAAGGCCGAAAUUAAGCUAUUCAAAGAAUAUUGUGUGACAUUUCUGUUACUGAAAAGGAGCAAGGAGCUUCAAUUAGUACACUAAUAAUUAGGCUACUGAUAGUAGUGGCCUGUCCUGGUUUCAGCAUAGAAAAGUAAUUUAACUGUAAUUUGUUUACUAAAAAUCCCUUUAUUCAGUGUUAAGAUUUUUUUGUUUGUUCUGACAAUUACAAAGUAUUUCAGAACUUGCAGGGUAGGAAACACAUGCAAGAUUACAAGCAGCACUGUAGAACUUUCUGUUAACCUGUACCCUGUAAGUAGGCUGGUUGCUGUAAAUGACAGUGUGCUUUUUUUGCUACAAAUGAAUGUUUCCAUACAACCCGCUCCAACCAGUGGCACUGGUACCCAUCUCUUCUACUGCCAGUAUUUUUGCCUAUUAAUACUAUAGAUUAAUUGUGAUAUUCUUGCAAGUACCACUGUCAGAAACACAUUCGCAGGUCUAUGAAAAAACAAACAAAAAAGUCAAGUUGCCUAGCCACAUCAUAUAAAUGAUCAAACUUUCAAGUUAGUUCAUUUCAAGGGGAAGCUUCCUGACACUCUCCUUCAACAAAGGCUAAAUUGUUGACAUUACCCUAAAGGUAAAGAAUUUGUGGUACUUAUGGAAAAUCUCUAAUUGCUUCUGAAAAGAAGUUAAACCAUAAACAAGAUAGUUCAUACUUAGCCUAACUGCUAUCCACUCCUAAAUACUCAGUAGUAUUCAAAUUCCCAAACUUUUAUCAUCAUUCAUACAUCCCUGUGAUUUUAAUACUUUUCUUUGUUUAGAAUUUUAGCCUUUACCUGUAGCAAGCUAUCAUUAACAGACAUUCUUCAGGGCAUCAUACACAAAGCCCAAGAAGUAGGAAAAGAUCAAAAGGAAAAGGUGACUCACACUGAAGGAGCUUUCACCAAUAUAUCCAUGAUUUUCAGAGUAAGAAAUGGACUUUUCAUGUGCUCUACCAGUAAUGUUUUCAAAUUUUAUUAAGAACAAUUUUAGUACAAACCAGGAUAAAGACUGAAUUGUUCCAGAGAAGAAUCCAAGCGGGGG